AUCACCAACAAUUGAAAAAUUUUCUUCAAGAAAUGGACGGUUCGAAUCAAACCAAGCAACCGCAAGAGAGUGAUUUUUUGUCUUACCAUAUAUAUAAUUAAUUACAUAAACAACCAGUCCAAAUAUUAGAAACAGUUCAACUACAAAAUUAUUCCAAUUGUUCCUCAAGUGACCAGGAACGUCUGUUAUCUUCAACUGAGUUACAGUCUUACUAGGACCUGCAUUUUGUUUACCUGGUCUUCUUUCAUCGGGAAAAUUUUCAAAUUCAUUUUCAUCUAGAAGGUGUGAAAAAUCGUCAACAGACUCGUCCUCCACAAUACCGUAAUCGUCAUCGUUGAAAUUAUUAUUCGGAGCAUCGUUAAGCUUUUGUUCUGCGUAGGCUGGAGACCUCUUCGCGCCUAUUGAUGCCGUAUCUCUCGGGUGAAUGUUGUUGUUGACAAGUUGAAGAGCAUUGUUCUGCGUACAAUUGUAAUGGGUCUGUUGGUGCCGUUGCGUUCGUGGGUUUCGGCUCACGAUUUGUCUGGUACGUCGGGAAAAAAGUCAAUUAUGAAUGUAAUUGAUCUGACUACCGUGCGUAACGGUAUUCAAAUGUGUGUUUGAUGGACUUUAUUUGCAAUCGGCGCUCAAUGUGUUUUCUUUUAUCGGUGGCGUCAAUGUUAGCCUCCCAUCCGACCCGUCUUGAAACACGGACCAAGGAGUUCAGUAGGCACGCGAGUCGUUGACGUUUUUCAUUGAACAGUCGAAGGCGAAAUGAAAGUGUUCAUGAAAAUGAACAGUACUUUUUUAUGGAGUGCUGCUCGCUUUUAACAUGAUCGUCCUUUUUUGUGCUUAAUUGUGCAAAAUUGAUAUAUGGGGACGCGCAGUGUGGUGCCGUUGAAUACUCGCACUGUUCUUUCUUUCUCUUCGGGGUUGGAGGAACAAUUGUCGAUCAGUCGGUUUCGGAGCGUGCACACUGGUACCCGAAAGAUGGUGAACUAUGCUUGAGCAGAAUGAAGCCAGAGGAAACUCUGGUGGAAGUUCGUAGCGGUGUUGACGUGCAAAUCACUCGUCUGACUUGAGUGUAGGGGCGAAAGACUAAUCGAACCAUCUAGUUGCUGGUUCCUUCCGAAGUUUCCCUCAGGAUAGCUGGCAUUUGUUUGUAACAAUUUUAUCCGGUAGAGCGAAUGAUUAGAGGUGUUGGGAACGCAAUGUUCUCAGCCUAUUCUCAAACUUCGAAUGGGUAAGCAAGGCGUUUUGCUUUGAUUUUACGAUGAAAUCGCCCAAUUAGAAUGCAUAAAUGCCUAGUGGGCCAAUUUUGGUAAGCAGAACUGGCGAUGUGGAAUGAACCAAAAGUCAGGUUAAGGUGCCAGACAUUGGCGCUCAUGAAAUACCAGAAAAGGUGUUGGUCGAUAUAGACAGCAGGACGGUGGCCAUGGAAGUUGGAAUCCGCCAAGGAGUGUGUAACAACUCACCUGCCGAAUCGACUAGCCCUGAAAAUGGAUAGCGUUUGAGCGCCAGGCCCAUACCUGACCGUCUCAAUUACGCACUUUUUUUUCGGAAAAGGUGUAAUGAACGUUGAGACGGGUAGGAAGGUCGCGACAGUGUUGCUUUGAAGAGUUUUGAGCGUGAGCUCGCUCGGAGCCGCUGUUGGUGCAGAUCUUGGUGGUAGUAGCAAAUAUUCAAGUGAGAACCUUGAAGGCUGAAGUGGAGCAAGGUUCCAUGUGAACAGCAGUUGGACAUGGGUCAGUCGAUCCUAAGAAAACGGCGAAAGCUUGUUCGAAUUUGCGACAUGAAUUGUAAGACUGUGUGUUUAUUGUGUGUGUGCAGUUGUCGUAUGUUUUCGAAAGGGAAUCCGGUUGAUAUUCCGGAACCGAGUAACGGAGACAAAGAGUAGCGCUUUAAUCUCUCUGUGGGGUUGGCGUUCAACUCAAUCGCGCGGUAACGCAAGCGAACUCGGAAAAUGACCGUCGUGAGUUUCGAAAAGAGUUUUCUUUUCUUUUUAAGGGACGCAUUCCCUGGAACCGGGUUGUCCGGAGAUAGGGAUUCUGGUAUCCAUAAAACGCCGACUUUUUCACGGUGUUCGGAGCGCUCUCGUCGGUACGUGAAAAUCCGAGCGACGCCUGGUAAAUCUCGUACUUGGUCGUGCUGAUAUCCGCAGCAGGUCUCCAAGGUGAAUAGCCUCUGGCCGAUAGAAUAAUGUAGGUAAGGGAAGUCGGCAAAACGGAUCCGUAACUUCGGAACAAGGAUUGGCUCUAAGGGCUGGGCCGAUCGGGCUGAGGUUUCAAGCGUGCAGUGUAUGCUUGGCUGAGUUGUGUUGAGGACUUGUUCACUUGCCGCCGUUUGUUCGGUUGGUCUAGUGUAUUCGAGUCUGAAGCAGAGCUGGCCGACAGACCGGCACGUGCAGAACCUGAGCUGCGCGGCUGUCCGUUUACGUGUACAGACCGUUUCGGUCGGCAUUCAACAGCCAACUUAGAACUGGCACGGACACAAGGAAUCUGACUGUAUAAUUAAAACAAAGCAU
rnacentral:rRNA from 1 species